rnacentral:misc_RNA from 1 species
GAUGAAGAACGUAGCGAAAUGCGAUAAGUAGUGUGAAUUGUAGAAUUCAGUGAAUCAUCGAAUCUUUGAACGCACAUUGCGCCCCUUGGUAUUCCAUGGGGCAUGCCUGUUCGAGCGUCAUUUGUACCUUCAAGCUCUGCUUGGUGUUGGGUGUUUGUCUCGCCUCUGCGUGUAGACUCGCCUCAAAAUAAUUGGCAGCCGGCGUAUUGAUUUCGGAGCGCAGUACAUCUCGCGCUUUGCACUCAUAACGACGACGUCCAAAAGUACAUUUUUACACUCUUGACCUCGGAUCAGGUAGGGAUACCCGCUGAACUUAAGCAUAUCAAUAAGCGGAGA